GAUGAACGCUGGCGGCGUGCCUCAAACAUGCAAGUCGAGCGGGCGUAUGUAAUAUCGCAAGGUAGAACAUAGCCUAGCGGCGAACGGGUGAGUAACACGUGGGUAACCUGCCUGGAAGACAGGGAUAACGAUUCGAAAGGGUCGCUAAUACCUGAUAAUAUCCUUUCAUCGCAUGGUGAUAGGAAGAAAGGGGAAACCCGCUUUCAGAUGGGCCCGCGUCCCAUCAGCUAGUUGGUAAGGUAAAGGCUUACCAAGGCGACGACGGGUAGCCGGUCUGAGAGGAUGUACGGCCACACUGGGACUGAGAUACGGCCCAGACUCCUACGGGAGGCAGCAGUUGGGAAUCUUAGGCAAUGGACGAAAGUCUGACCUAGCGACGCCGCGUGAGGGAAGAAGGCCUUCGGGUUGUAAACCUCUGUCAUGGGGGAAGAAGUAAGUGACGGUACCCCAAGAGGAAGCCCCUGCUAACUACGUG
rnacentral:rRNA from 1 species